AUUGAACGCUGGCGGCAGGCCUAACACAUGCAAGUCGAGCGGAUGAAGGGAGCUUGCUCCUGGAUUCAGCGGCGGACGGGUGAGUAAUUCCUAGGAAUCUGCCUGGUAGUGGGGGAUAACGUCCGGAAACGGGCGCUAAUACCGCAUACGUCCUGAGGGAGAAAGUGGGGGAUCUUCGUACCUCACGCUAUCAGAUGAGCCUAGGUCGGAUUAGCUAGUUGGUGGGGUAAAGGCCUACCAAGUCGACGAUCCGUAACUGGUCUGAGAGGAUGAUCAGUCACACUGGAACUGAGACACGGUCCAGACUCCUACGGGAGGCAGCAGUGGGGAAUAUUGGACAAUGGGCGAAAGCCUGAUCCAGACAUGCCGCGUGUGUGAAGAAGGUCUUCGGAUUGUAAAGCACUUUAAGUUGGGAGGAAGGGCAGUAAGUUAAUACCUUGCUGUUUUGACGUUACCAAAAGAAUAAGCACCGGCUAACUUCGUG
rnacentral:rRNA from 1 species